AUCGCUUCUCAGCCUUAUGGCUAAGAUCAAGUGUAGUAUUUGUCCUUAUCAGUUUGUAUAACCAAAAACUGCUCACGUUGAUUGGAUGCUUGCUCUGCCAAUCUCAGUUUUAAAUGUCUUCAUAUAUUAACCUGAAGUAGUCCUCAAUACAGAAAAAUACAAUUAAUAUAAUUAUUCCACUUUAC